UGGGGAAUAUUGGACAAUGGGCGAAAGCCUGAUCCAGCCAUGCCGCGUGUGUGAAGAAGGUCUUCGGAUUGUAAAGCACUUUAAGUUGGGAGGAAGGGCAGUAAGUUAAUACCUUGCUGUUUUGACGUUACCGACAGAAUAAGCACCGGCUAACUCUGUGCCAGCAGCCGCGGUAAUACAGAGGGUGCAAGCGUUAAUCAGAAUUACUGGGCGUAAAGCGCGCGUAGGUGGUUUGUUAAGUUGGAUGUGAAAGCCCCGGGCUCAACCUGGGAACUGCAUCCAAAACUGGCAAGCUAGAGUACGGUAGAGGGUGGUGGAAUUUCCUGUGUAGCGGUGAAAUGCGUAGAUAUAGGAAGGAACACCAGUGGCGAAGGCGACCACCUGGACUGAUACUGACACUGAGGUGCGAAAGCGUGGGGAGCAAACA
rnacentral:rRNA from 1 species